rnacentral:tRNA from 1 species
GUCAGUGUGGCAUAAUGGUUUGUGCAUUAGACUGCAACUCUGGAGACCAGGGUUGGAUUCCUCGCUCAGCCA